rnacentral:rRNA from 1 species
UACGAGGGGAGCAAGCGUUGUUCGGAUUUACUGGGCGUAAAGGGCGUGUAGGCGGUGGGGUAAGUCUGGUGUGAAAUCUCGGAGCUCAACUUCGAAAUUGCACUGGAUACUGCUCUGCUAGAGGGCUGGAGAGGAGAUCGGAAUUCACGGUGUAGCAGUGAAAUGCGUAGAUAUCGUGAGGAAGACCAGUGGCGAAGGCGGAUCUCUGGACAGCUCCUGACGCUGAGGCGCGAAGGCUAGGGGAGCAAACGGG